rnacentral:pre_miRNA from 1 species
CUUAGACGCAAAAGUGAAGCCUGGGGUGGGACACUGAGCACGACGUUCAAUCGUGUUCAGUGUCCCGCCUCUGGCUUCACUUUUGCGUCUAAG